rnacentral:lncRNA from 1 species
ACCACAUGACUCAGAUCUGGUACAUAUUUCUUCAACAUUGACACAUGAAAAACAUUGUGCACACUGGAUAAAGCCGGUGGUAAAGCCAAUCGAUACGCCACCUCCCCAACCUUGUCCAAAAUCUCAAACGGACCAACAUACUUAUAGCUCAAUUUACCAUGAACCCCAAAUCUCAUCACUCCUCUAGUGGGUGACACUCUCAAGAAAACAUGAUCCCCAAUUUAAAAUUUCAGUUUUCUCCUUCUAUUAUCAGCAUAAGUCUUUUGACGACUCUGAGCUGUACGAAGUCGUUCUCUGAUCACUUGCACCUUAUCUAUGGUCUAUUGCACUAUCUCUGCCCUAAUAAUUUUUCUCUCGCCCACAUCAUCCUAAUAAAUAGGAGAUCCAUGUUAAAACAUUCCAAGUCUAAGACCAACCAAGGAAUCAUCAACCAUUAACGUUAAAUUUAAGAUGCUCAAGAUUUUCUCAAAAAUUGUCGACAAUAGAAGAACCUACUGGUGAAAAUUACAUAGCUACCUCUAGAUCAUCCAUAGAAUCAACAACAUUCUCCUCUACUAGAAACUAACUCAAGUGUUCCAUCAUAAUAUCUUUUAGAUCAAAUAUUAAUGUCCUUAACCAGUUUCAAAAUAACUCAAAUCACCACACUUCCGCUGCGCACUCUGAUUUAAUCCAUUAAAUACUCUAAAGCCUCUUAAAUGAUUUAUGACCGAAAUAUCACUUGCACUAGGAGUAAGAAAAUCCAAAUUUCGAAACUUUAAUUGAGUAGAACCUCCAGAUCUCUCUAUCCUCAAUUUAUGUAGAGUAUACUUACCAUAACUAACCCCCGAUCCUUUAGUCAAGUUUAAGGUCACUAUGUGAUCUCCACAACCUUUUUAGAAUCCAAAAUAUCUAGGUUUAAUUUAAAGGGGGUAAUUCUUGUAUUCUCUUUGCAAUUUAAUUAGAAAAUCUACAUUGAUUUUCCUUCCAACAGAAUUUACCUCAAACUCAAUGGGUUAGAACUGUUGAGCCAAUAUCACUAUGAGUAGGAAUUNNN